AGCAGCCGCGGUAAUUCCAGCUCCAAUAGCGUAUAUUAAAGUUGUUGCAGUUAAAAAGCUCGUAGUUGAAUUUCGGGAUCAAAGGAUCGGUCAUGCCUUGGUAUGUACUGGUUUUAUUGGUUCUCACCUUCUAAAGAACCAUAAUGUCAUUCAUUUGAUGUUAUGGGGAAUUAGGACUGUUACCUUGAAAAAAUUAGAGUGUUUAAAGCAGGCUCACGCUUGAAUACAUUAGCAUGGAAUAAUGAAAUAGGACGUUUGAUUCUAUUUUGUUGGUUUCUAGGAUCGACGUAAUGAUUAAUAGGGAUAGUUGGGGGCAUUAGUAUUCAAUUGUCAGAGGUGAAAUUCUUGGAUUUAUUGAAGACUAACUACUGCGAAAGCAUUUGCCAAGGAUGUUUUCAUUAAUCAAGAACGAAAGUUAGGGGAUCGAAGACGAUCAGAUACCGUCGUAGUCUUAACCAUAAACUAUGCCGACUAGGGAUCGGAUGAUGUUAAUUUUUUUAAUGACUCAUUCGGCGCCUUA
rnacentral:misc_RNA from 1 species